rnacentral:lncRNA from 1 species
GUUGUUACUGAUGAGGAAAUAACAGAUGUGUAGACAGUUUUUUGUCAAGCAUUUCAUGGGGAAAACAAAAAGGCUGAGAAUUACUAACUGACAAACUUCUGAGAUAAGUGUGCUCUUCUUUACCCUCAAAUUCUUCAGCUCUCCUAAUACAUCACAACUAAGCAACUUGCAACUGGCGAAUACAGAGAUGGCGAAUUCUUCCUCACGUCUCUACCUACAAGUCACAGAGUAACUGGCAAAGAGAUCAUUACAACGGUAGAUAAGGAGUGCUAUCUUCUAGGAGAGCCAAAGAGGAGCUACAUUUACAGUAACAGUUUUGAGGCCAGAUACCAGUCAAGUUAUAGCAGAGAGGACUUCAUGAAGGAGGAUAGGAAUUUCCCAUGGAUGGCAAUGCUUGCUCAAGAGUGA